rnacentral:rRNA from 1 species
CAGGAGCUUGCUCCUGGGUGAGAGUGGCGAACGGGUGAGUAAUGCGUGACCGACCUGCCCCAUACACCGGAAUAGCUCCUGGAAACGGGUGGUAAUGCCGGAUGCUCCAGUUGACCGCAUGGUCCUCUGGGAAAGAUUUUGCGGUAUGGGAUGGGGUCGCGUCCUAUCAGCUUGAUGGCGGGGUAACGGCCCACCAUGGCUUCGACGGGUAGCCGGCCUGAGAGGGCGACCGGCCACAUUGGGACUGAGAUACGGCCCAGACUCCUACGGGAGGCAGCAGUGGGGAAUAUUGCACAAUGGGCGCAAGCCUGAUGCAGCGACGCCGCGUGCGGGAUGACGGCCUUCGGGUUGUAAACCGCUUUUGACUGGGAGCAAGCCCUUCGGGGUGAGUGUACCUUUCGAAUAAGCACCGGCUAACUACGUGCCAGCAGCCGCGGUAAUACGUAGGGUGCAAGCGUUAUCCGGAAUUAUUGGGCGUAAAGGGCUCGUAGGCGGUUCGUCGCGUCCGGUGUGAAAGUCCAUCGCUUUAACGGUGGAUCCGCGCCGGGUACGGGCGGCCUUGAAUGCGGGAGGGGAGACUGGAAUUCCCGUGUAACGGUGCAAUG